UGGGCUGGCCGGGCGACCGCGUCGCUCCCUGCUUCACGGCAGGUGGCGCCGAGGAAGGUCCGGGCUCCACAGGGCAGGGUGAUGGCCAACGGCCAUCCGGGGCAACCCGCGGGAAAGUGCCACAGAGAACAGACCGCCACUGCGUGCAGUGGUAAGGGUGAAACGGUGGUGCAAGAGACCACCAGUGCGGCGGGCGACCGUCGCAGCUCGGCAAACCCCACCCGGAGCAAGGUCAGACAGUGUGCGUGCGAGGGCGGCCCGUCCGAGCACACGGGUAGACCGCACGAGGCGGCCGGCAACGGUCGCCCGAGAUGGAUGGUCGCCACGCUUCGGCGGACAGAACCCGGCCUACAGGCCAGCCCAUUCG
rnacentral:RNase_P_RNA from 1 species